rnacentral:lncRNA from 1 species
CCCCGAUACGAUACAAUUUGUCUGCUUCCCAUAUCACACGCAGCCAGCCUAAACCCUCGCCUCGCCGCCGCACCACCACCACCAGCGCAGAGGACGACGACGAGCUACCCGCCAUGGCGAAGGUACGGUCCCUUUUACCUUCAUGUCCUCAUUCUCGCUCGAUCAUCGUCUCCUCGAUCCCUCCCUCCCUGCUAAUUUUGGUCACUGCAGAAGAAGCGCAGCGGCGGCGGCGGGGGGGGGGGGGGGGGCGGGUGAGGGGGGGCACGACCUCCUCCGCCAUCAGCGUCCCGUAGACGAACACGAGGUGGGGCGCCGCCGCCAUGGAUGGGGGAGCGGAAGGG